CAGUAGCCGCGGUAAAACGUAGGGUGCAAGCGUUAACCGGAAUUACUGGGCGUAAAGCGUGCGCAGGCGGUUCUAUAAGACAGAUGUGAAAUCCCCGGGCUCAACCUGGGAACUGCAUUUGUGACUGUAGAGCUGGAGUGCGGCAGAGGGGGAUGGAAUUCCGCGUGUAGCAGUGAAAUGCGUAGAUAUGCGGAGGAACACCGAUGGCGAAGGCAAUCCCCUGGGCCUGCACUGACGCUCAUGCACGAAAGCGUGGGGAGCAAACAGGAUUAGAUACCCCUGUAGUCCCUGUCUCUUAUAC
rnacentral:rRNA from 1 species